rnacentral:rRNA from 1 species
AGCUACCUGCAGCCGAGCGGUAUUUAUUCUUCGGAAUAGAGAGAGCGGCGUACGGGUGCGGAACACGUGUGCAACCUGCCUUUAUCAGGGGGAUAGCCUUUCGAAAGGAAGAUUAAUACCCCAUAAUAUUUAAGAUGGCAUCAUUUUAAAUUGAAAACUACGGUGGAUAAAGAUGGGCACGCGCAAGAUUAGAUAGUUGGUGAGGUAACGGCUCACCAAGUCAGUGAUCUUUAGGGGGCCUGAGAGGGUGAUCCCCCACACUGGUACUGAGACACGGACCAGACUCCUACGGGAGGCAGCAGUGAGGAAUAUUGGACAAUGGGUGAGAGCCUGAUCCAGCCAUCCCGCGUGAAGGACGACGGCCCUAUGGGUUGUAAACUUCUUUUGUAUAGGGAUAAACCUAGAUACGUGUAUCUAGCUGAAGGUACUAUACGAAUAAGCACCGGCUAACUCCGUGCCAGCAGCCGCGGUAAUACGGAGGGUGCAAGCGUUAUCCGGAUUUAUUGGGUUUAAAGGGUCCGUAGGCGGAUCAGUAAGUCAGUGGUGAAAUCUCAUAGCUCAACUAUGAAACUGCCAUUGAUACUGCUGGUCUUGAGUAAGGUAGAAGUAGCUGGAAUAAGUAGUGUAGCGGUGAAAUGCAUAGAUAUUACUUAGAACACCAAUUGCGAAGGCAGGUUACUAUGUCUUAACUGACGCUGAUGGACGAAAGCGUGGGGAGCGAACAGGAUUAGAUACCCUGGUAGUCCACGCUGUAAACGAUGCUAACUCGUUUUUGGGUUUUCGGAUUCAGAGACUAAGCGAAAGUGAUAAGUUAGCCACCUGGGGAGUACGAACGCAAGUUUGAAACUCA